AGUGAACGCUGGCGGUAGGCCUAACACAUGCAAGUCGAACGGCAGCACAGUAAGAGCUUGCUCUUACGGGUGGCGAGUGGCGGACGGGUGAGGAAUACAUCGGAAUCUACUUUUUCGUGGGGGAUAACGUAGGGAAACUUACGCUAAUACCGCAUACGACCUACGGGUGAAAGCAGGGGAUCUUCGGACCUUGCGCGAUUGAAUGAGCCGAUGUGGGAUUAGCUAGUUGGCGGGGUAAAGGCCCACCAAGGCGACGAUCCGUAGCUGGUCUGAGAGAAUGAUCAGCCACACUGGAACUGAGACACGGUCCAUACUCCUACGGGAGGCAGCAGUGGGGAAUAUUGGACAAUGGGCGGAAGCCUGAUCCAGCCAUACCGCGUGGGUGAAGAAGGCCUUCGGGUUGUAAAGCCCUUUUGUUGGGAAAGAAAAGCAGCAGGUUAAUACCCCGCUGUUCUGACGGUACCCAAAGAAUAAGCACCGGCUAACUUCGUG
rnacentral:rRNA from 1 species